rnacentral:rRNA from 1 species
UUUUCCGUAGGUGAACCUGCGGAGGGAUCAUUACCGAGUUAUACAACUCAUCAACCCUGUGAACAUACCUAAAACGUUGCUUCGGCGGGAACAGACGGCCCUGUAACAACGGGCCGCCCCCGCCAGAGGACCCCUAACUCUGUUUUUAUAAUGUUUUUCUGAGUAAACAAGCAAAUAAAUUAAAACUUUCAACAACGGAUCUCUUGGCUCUGGCAUCGAUGAAGAACGCAGCGAAAUGCGAUAAGUAAUGUGAAUUGCAGAAUUCAGUGAAUCAUCGAAUCUUUGAACGCACAUUGCGCCCGCCAGUAUUCUGGCGGGCAUGCCUGUUCGAGCGUCAUUACAACCCUCAGGCCCCCGGGCCUGGCGUUGGGGAUCGGCGGAAGCCCCCUGUGGGCACACGCCGUCCCUCAAAUACAGUGGCGGUCCCGCCGCAGCUUCCAUUGCGUAGUAGCUAACACCUCGCAACUGGAGAGCGGCGCGGCCAUGCCGUAAAACACCCAACUUCUGAAUGUUGACCUCGAAUCAGGUAGGAAUACCCGCUGAA